CGAAUUUCGCGGCCUGGUAGCGUCCUCCGACGCGAGCGGGAGCGAAGUCCGGUGUGAAUCCGGCGCUGUGCCGCAACUGUGAUGGGACCCGUUGUGCCGGUACGAACACGUGCCGUGACAGCGGGGCCCAGAGCCAGGUCGCCUGCCGCUCGCGCUGACGCCACC
rnacentral:ncRNA from 17 species